ensembl:lncRNA
UGUGUGUGUGUGUGUGUGUGUGUGUGUGUGUGUCCAACCCCAUCUCAUCUCCUCUUCAUAUCCAUCCAUCCCGCUUGAUACUUCUUUCUCUCCCUCUCUCCCUCUCUCCCUCUCUCUCUCUUUCUUUCACUCUCCUUCAUCCUUCACCCCCCUUUUUCUUUCAUAACCAUCCAUUUUUGGAUUGUUUUUUUGCAUGCCUUUAAGGUAGUUGGCCUACUAGUUUCGGAACAAAACUCCAUAUUGCUGCCAUCUCUUUAUAUCACUUCCCUUCAUGUCCCUGCUUCUUCUCUAACUGUUCUGUCUCUGUUUGUAAACGUCCUUCGUGUAACUGAGGUAUAAGACUCUAUUCACUGCUUCUCCUCUAACUGUUCUGUCUCUGUUUGUAAAUGUCCUUCGUGUAACUGAGGUAUAAGACUCUAUUCACUGCUUCUCCUCUAACUGUUCUGUCUCUGUUUGUAAAUGUCCUUCGUGUAACUGAGGUAUAAGACUCUAUUCACUGCUUCUCC